GACUUGAUUGCGUCAAAUGUAGCAACGAGAAAAUCCUUGACCUAGAGGGAGUGAACAGAACUUCGAUAAAGAAUAACUGGCCAGACAAGGCAGCAGAAAUGGGGAAGGCGGGGCAAGAGGCAGGAAAAGCAUUUCUCCCCUUAGACAUUGGUGAUGUGCCUGAACAUUUCAGAAAUUUUUGCCAACUCUGCUUCACAUGGCCCUCGUGCUGAUGUGCUGACUACUGCAUGCUUUGAUACACAUACCUGACAAGACAACAAGGAUAGAUAAGUAAAAACGCCUGAAUUCGAGUUGAGUUCUAAUCGUGUAGCAGUAGUUUGUCUUUGCAACUGAAAGGGAAAUCCUCGUUAGACUUUUGGAACAGUUUUAAAGUCUAAUCCCUUCAAUACAGAAAAUUCACAGGACUUUUUGUGCAAAAAAAUCACUGUCUUUUGGGUUAUCAGGCAUUCACAACAGUCUAAUCUCCCAUUACAGAUACAAUGACAAGAGAUAUGUUUUAAUUGGCUUUCUGCAUGCAAAGUGCAGAAAUGAGCAUUGCUUUUGCUCGUUUUUUUUCGCUUUUCAACAAAGAGCAGAAAAGCCAUUUUUUUGCUCCUAAUUAUAUUCUUUCUUGAUCUUCAUAUUCUACUCAUCAAAGGCCAUUUGCUGUGUACAAAUGUUUCUUUUGUCACUUAGUACGCUUGCAUCAUUUUCAGUGUCACACCAGAGGAAGACUAUAAUACAAAAAUGGCAAUAGAAAUGUGAUAUCAUGAUGAUGUCAUCAGAUAAUUCAUUACUGAAUUUUGAAUGUU